rnacentral:rRNA from 1 species
GACGAACGCUGGCGGCGUGCCUAAUACAUGCAAGUAGAACGCAGUAGCGAACGGGUGAGUAACGCGUAGGUACCUGACUCAUAGCGGGGGAUAACUAUUGGAAACGAUAGCUAAUACCGCCUACUGUGGGAUGGGCCUGCGUUGUAUUAGCUAGUUGGUGAGGUAAAGGGUCACCAAGGCGACGAUACAUAGCCGACCCGGGAGGGGGAACGGCCACACUGGGACUGAGACACGGGCCAGACUCCUACGGGAGGCAGCAGGAAGGAAUCUUCGGGAAUGGGCCGAAGUCUGGACCGGCAACGCCGCGGUAGGGAAGAAGGUUUUCGGAUCGUAAAGCUUUUUUGGUAGAGAAGCGGUAUCUAACCAGAAAGGGACGGCUAACUACGUGCCAGCAGCCGCGGUAAUUC